UACGGGGGGGGCAAGCGUUGUUCGGAAUUACUGGGCGUAAAGGGCUCGUAGGCGGCCAACUAAGUCAGACGUGAAAUCCCUCGGCUUAACCGGGGAACUGCGUCUGAUACUGGAUGGCUUGAGAUUGGGAGAGGGAGUGCGGAAUUCCAGGUGUAGCGGUGAAAUGCGUAGAUAUCUGGAGGAACACCGGUGGCGAAGGCGGCAUCCUGGACCAACACGUGACGCUGAGGAGCGAAAGCGUGGGGAGCAAACAGGG
rnacentral:rRNA from 1 species